rnacentral:rRNA from 1 species
AUUGAACGCUGGCGGCAGGCUUAACACAUGCAAGUCGAACGAGAGGCGGACGGGUGAGUAAUGCUUGGGAAUCUAGCUUAUGGAGGGGGAUAACUACGGGAAACUGUAGCUAAUACCGCGUAACACAGGAUGAGCCCAAGUGGGUUUAGGGAGUCGGUGAGGUAAAGGUUCACCAAGCCGACGAUCUCUAGCUGGUCUGAGAGGAUGACCGGCCACACUGGGACUGAGACACGGCCCAGACUCCUACGGGAGUCAGCAGUGGGGAAUAUUGCGCAAUGGGGGCAACCUGACGCAGCCAUGCCGCGUGAGUGAAGAAGGCCUUCGGGUUGUAAAGUUCUUUCGGUAGCGAGGCGUUACCUACAGAAGAAGCACCGGCUAACUCCGUGCCAGCAGCCGCGGUAAUAC